GUUCCGGUUGUAGGGCUGUGCAGCCGGAGACCCAGGGGGAAGCUGAUGUUCCAGUUGUAGGGCCGUGCUACUGGAGACCCAGGGGUGGAGCUGAUGUUCCAGUUUGAGGGCCAUGCAGUUGAUGACCCGGCGGGGAGCUGAUGUUCAAGUUUGAGGUCUGUGCAGCUGGAGACCCGCGGGGGAGCUGAUGUUCCAGUUUGAUGGCCAUGCAGCUGGAGGCUCUGAUGGGAGCUGAUGUUGCAAUUUGAGGGCCAUGCAGCUGGAGACCUGGCGGGGAGCUGAUGUUCCAGUUUGAGG
rnacentral:lncRNA from 1 species